rnacentral:lncRNA from 1 species
GUAGGAGGCCAGGACCCACAGAGGCCACCCGCCCAUCCCAGGAACCAGAGCCUGCAGGGACCCACCCAGGGAAUCCUCUCCUUUUACAAAGGAAAACCGAGGCCCAAAGACAUGAUGUCCGUGCGAUUUCUUCUUCGAACUUGCUGUGUGCCAUUUCCUCUUCAGGAUUCCUGUGGCUUAUGUAGAAUGGCCUGUGAGGGCAGGGAUGCUUCUGUUGUAUGUCUGCAUCCGGAGCAGCACGAAGUAGCACUGAGCCCAUGGGCCCGUCUGCAGAUGACAGAAUGCCACCAACUCCCCAGAGACAGACAUCCCCAGAUAUCAAUCGUUCCUACAACAGAAAUCUCCUUCAUUGCUGCACCUGAUAUCUCAGAGGCCCUUGGCCUAAGUGAAUCCAAGAUCUUAGUUUGGGACUUGUGAUAAUUAAAAUGUUUUGGGAGCAAGGGAAAUAUAUAACAAAUAUGACCACUUGAAAUAUGUUUUCUACUGUGUCUUGGUUUUAUAUAAAUAUAAGAUGGUCGCCAGGGAAUAUAUUCCCAAUUUAUGAAUAUGCCCAAGCCAACUGGGUUUUAUAGAGAAAUUUAAUUUAUAAUACACUGAUUAAUCAAUAGAAAAAGAGAGAAAGUAAGAAAGGAAUAAGAAUGAAUAAAUCAGUCAGUUGGUUUUAUCA